rnacentral:rRNA from 1 species
GACAGAGGAUGCAAGCGUUAUCCGGAAUGAUUGGGCGUAAAGCGUCUGUAGGUGGCUUUUUAAGUCCGCCGUCAAAUCCCAGGGCUCAACCCUGGACAGGCGGUGGAAACUACCAAGCUGGAGUACGGUAGGGGCAGAGGGAAUUUCCGGUGGAGCGGUGAAAUGCGUAGAGAUCGGAAAGAACACCAGUGGCGAAGGCGGCUUACUGGUCCGGAACUGACGCUGAGGUGCGAAAGCGUGGGGAGCAAACAGGG